UUUUUUAAUUAGAGGAGAGCAACAAUCCCAGUGUAAGGUGCAUGGGGAGCUGCUCGGCUUCCUGGUGGCCUGCUGGACAGACCUCCAGGGAGAUAACUGCGACUAGAACCCACACAGCAGGGUGGCUGUCGUACAGCGAUCUGAAGAAAUGAGGUGCUGUUCAGGAGGAAGCAAAAUGGUUGACCUGUAGCUGCAUCUGUAGCUCUCUCCAUCUUUGCCUGUCCCUGCUGAGAGAUGACUGCCAAGGAACAAGAACUGCAUUGUGGGUGCUAGAAAAAAAGCUGCUAAGGAAGGAGCAGUAAAAAAAGACAGCAUUAGGAAGGAGAAACAAGAAAAAGGUCCCUCUCCUCAAGACGUAAGAUGAGACCACCAAUGCAGAAAUGGAUUUUGUUAUUCAUGGUGUAAUAGACAAUAUUGGCACACAAACAACGCCUAAAAGCUUUCCUAACUAGCUAUAUGAGUAACUAUAUGAGAAUGAUUCUUCACUUUGUAGUCGGACCUCAAAGAUGCCAAUGGAUACUUGGACAUAGCUGGAAGUGCACUUCAGAAACACCUAUAAUAUCAGAGCACAGCAAUUACAUCUUCAUCACUCAAGCACUGAAGUACUCUGAAAUUAAUACGAUAUAUCAAGAACGGUCUCUUCGGACUUUUGUAGAGGAGGACUGUUACCCACCUGGCCUGUGAUGUAGGAUUUGGCUCUACAAUACGGAAAAUGUGAUCCUGUGUUAUGUGGACUGCCUGGCAGUCUAAGCAGCAGGUGGUGGAUUUUGAGGGUCCUUUCAAAGGUGACCCGGUGCCUGGGAAGAGCGUGCUGAGCGCUUAAGCCUGCUCUGGAUGCUGAACAAGUCUGUACAUCUGCUCCUUAUUUCAGUGUAGGUGAGAGAUGAGGGGUUUUCAAAAUCCAGUCAAGUAUCUGAAAACUUGUGGCUCAGUUCUUCACAAAAUCUCUUCCAUGCUGUUAGUUAGAGUGCCCAGUGUUUUAAGCCAGAGGUCUGUGGACCUUCGAUUGGUGGAUGACUUCAAAGGGACUAAGAAAAGCAAGUGUAUCGACGCCUGCUGACAACUGGUGUGCAGGAGCCUGAAGCUGUAGUGGAAAACCUUGAGGGCUGCAAAUCAGAAAGGGUUGAAAUCAGCAGCUGUUGGUUAAUCUCCAUGAGGCUUAUUUUGCUCCCCUG
rnacentral:lncRNA from 1 species